UUGCCUACGGGACGCAGCAGUGGGGAAUAUUGCACAAUGGGGGAAACCCUGAUGCAGCGACGCCGCGUGAGCGAUGAAGUAUCUCGGUAUGUAAAGCUCUAUCAGCAGGGAAGAAAGUGACAGUACCUGACUAAGAAGCCCUGGCUAACUACGUGCCAGCAGCCGCGGUAAUACGUAGGGGGCAAGCGUUAUCCGGAUUUACUGGGUGUAAAGGGAGCGUAGACGGCAGCGCAAGUCUGGAGUGAAAUGCCGGGGCCCAACCCCGGAAA
rnacentral:rRNA from 1 species